UUCCAGCUUAUGCGGGGGCGGGGCGGGUGCGGGUUGAAGUUUUUUUGUUAAACUUAAAUCGGUUGCGGGUUUUAGGAGAAUUUGAGCAAUCCAUAGAAUCUGGUUAUAUAAUUCUUCCGCUAAGCCUAUAGUCAUUCAGUAAUCCUUAUUUUUUUACGUCUUUACCACAUUAUAUCCAAUAUUAAUUCCCUCAAUUGAUGUAUUACAAAAAAAUUGCUAUAUUUAGUUUGUAUUGCUAAACCAAUAUAUGCAUUUGGCUCAUCAUUCUACAAAACCAAUUAACUUAGUUGGGUUCACAUUUGUCUAGAAAGGAUCCUAAGAAGAUUCAAAAUGAUCAGUAGGGUAACAACAAAAGUUUUACCCCUUUAAUUUUCUGGGUUUGCUUCCAUUCUAAUAAUGUUUUUGAUUCUUGAUUUUAA
rnacentral:lncRNA from 1 species